rnacentral:ncRNA from 1 species
CCUUAUCAAGAGAGGUGGAGGGACUGGCCCGAUGAAACCCAGCAACCAGUAUAUUUUAUAUACAAGGUGCUAAAUCCUGCAAUUCAUAAGAAUUGAAAGAUGAG